rnacentral:rRNA from 1 species
AGUGAACGCUGGCGGUAGGCCUAACACAUGCAAGUCGAACGGCAGCACAGUAAGAGCUUGCUCUUACGGGUGGCGAGUGGCGGACGGGUGAGGAAUACAUCGGAAUCUACUUUUUCGUGGGGGAUAACGUAGGGAAACUUACGCUAAUACCGCAUACGACCUACGGGUGAAAGCAAGAGAUCUUCGGACCUUGCCCGAUUGAAUGAGCCGAUGUCGGACUAGCUAGUUGGCGGGGUAAGGGCACACCAAGGCGACGAUCCGUAGCUGGUCUGAGAGGAUGAUCAGCCACACUGGAACUGAGACACGGUCCAGACUCCUACGGGAGGCAGCAGUGGGGAAUAUUGGACAAUGGGCGCAAGCCUGAUCCAGCCAUACCGCGUGGGUGAAGAAGGCCUUCGGGUUGUAAAGCCCUGUUGUUGGGAAAGAAAAGCAGCAGGUGAAUACCCCGCUGUUCUGACGGUACCCAAAGAAUAAGCACCGGCUAACUUCGUG